GACGGAGGAUGCAAGCGUUAUCCGGAAUGAUUGGGCGUAAAGCGUCCGCAGGUGGCAGUUCAAGUCUGCUGUCAAAGACCGGGGCUUAACUUCGGAAAGGCAGUGGAAACUGAACAGCUAGAGUAUGGUAGGGGCAGAGGGAAUUCCUGGUGUAGCGGUGAAAUGCGUAGAUAUCAGGAAGAACACCCGUGGCUAAGGCGGUUCUCUAGUACGGUACUGACGCUGAGACGCGAAAGCGUGGGGAGCGAACAGG
rnacentral:rRNA from 1 species